rnacentral:lncRNA from 1 species
CUGCACGCGAAGAACACACCAAGAACACGCUAAGGACACACCGAGGACACGCUAAGGACACGCCGAGGACAUGCACCAGGGCAGGGACGCGCUGCGCGGCUUCCCCACCGCCCACCGCCCGCCAAGGUCUGGUGUCCUCGGUGUGCCUCAGGGGUCUGCACGCGAAGAACACACCAAGAACACGCUAAGGACACACCGAGGACACGCUAAGGACACGCCGAGGACAUGCACCAGGGCAGGGACGCGCUGCGCGGCUUCCCCGCCGCCCUCUGCCCGCCAAGGUCUGGUGUCCUCGGUGUGCCUCAGGGGUCUGCACGCGAAGAACACACCAAGAACACGCUAAGGACACACUGAGGACAUGCUAAGGACACACUGAGGACACGCGCCGGGGCAGGGAUGCGCUGCGCGGCUUCCCCGCUGCCCACCGCCUGCGAAGGUCUGGUGUCCUCGGUGUGCCUCAGGGGUCUGCAUGCGAAGAACACACCAAGAACACGCUAAGGACACACUGAGGACAUGCUAAGGACACACUGAGGACACACGCCGGGGCAGGGAUGCGCUGCGCGGCUUCCCUGCUGCCCACCGCCUGCGAAGGUCUGGUGUCCUCGGCGUGCCACAGGGGUUUGCACGCGAGGAACACACCAAGAACAUGCUAGGGACAUGCCAAGGACACGCUAAGGACACGCCAAGGACACGCGCCGGGGCAGGGACGUGCUGCGCGGCUUCCCUGCCACCCGCCAAGGUCUGCUGUCCUCGGCGCUCCGCAGGGGUCUGCACGUGAGGAACACGCCAGCCACACGCCAAGGCCACGGAUGUGCCUUCGUCACGUCAUCAGCGUGUGAUCUCGUGGCAGCACCGUGCUGGGAGCACGGACACGCCAAGUCACGGGCAACGGUCGCAUGUUUCCAGCAGUGGGGACGCGCCGUGGCUCACCAGCAACACGCCGCCGACGCGCCAGCGACACGUGAGCUCACGCCAGGAACGCAGACACACGACUGACACGCCACAGGCACGUGAACUCAUGCCACGAACACACCUGGGGCGCACACGUGCCGCCAACACGUGAUCUCACGCCACCAACGCGCAAGGGAGGCCGGACACACCGUUUCCUGCCCGCGACACGCCACCAACACGCGAUGUCAUGCCAGCGUCACCACAGGGGAACAACCACACCGCCGACACGCGAUCUCACGCCAUGGCUGCGCCCCCCCGACGCGUGCUCGCACGGCUCCGACACGUGUCGUCACGCCAGGGACACGCGACGGACACGCGAUCCUCCCCCCACCCCUGGGGACACGCCGGGACACGCGUGACCGGUUGGUGCCGCUGGCGGUCGGCGGCACAGCCGUGACGCGGCGACACGCCAGCGACAUGCCAGCGACACGCCAGCGACACGCCGAAAUAAAGGGAAACCGCGGUGGCCGCCGGGGCUGCGC